UGGUCAAUUGGCGAAAGCCAGAACCAGUCAUGCCGCGUGCAGGAUGAAGGCCCUACGGGUCGUAAACUGCUUUUAUUCGGGAAGAAAAAGUCUGUUUCCACAGACCUUGACGGUACCGAUUGAAUAAGGACCGGCCAACUCCGUGCCAGCAGCCGCGGUAAUACGGAGGGUCCAAGCGUUAUCCGGAUUCACUGGGUUUAAAGGGUGCGCAGGCGGCUAAGUAAGUCAGUGGUGAAAGCCUUCGGCUCAACCGGAGAAUUGCCAUUGAAACUACUUAGCUUGAGUGCAGUAGAGGUAGGCGGAAUGUAGCAUGUAGCGGUGAAAUGCAUAGAUAUGCUACAGAACACCGAUAGCGAAAGCAGCUUACCACACUGUAACUGACGCUGAGGCACAAAAGCAU
rnacentral:rRNA from 1 species